UGGAAUUCACUUCAAUAGUUAUUUAGAGCUCGAUCCAUGCAAGAUAAUAGAGUCCACCUUUACUCAUACAGAAAGAGAAUGGAAGAUCACUUUGUGUAUAUAAGUAACAAAAGCAUAUGACUAUUUCAUUCUUCAAAGAAUAAGACAGACUAUUUCAUUUUCAUAUCCUUCAGUUUGGUGUCUUCCUGAAGCAAAGAACAUGUUAACCUUACAUCUCCACUACAUCAGGCUAAGGUCUUAUGAUGAGUCACGCGAGAUAACUUUUGUCCUCAUCACAAAUCCUUAAGGCAUUACUACUACAAGCUUACAGAACACCCAAUAGGAGGUAUAAACAGCAUAGAGGUUGCCCAAUUUCUUCUCUGCAGUGGCAAGAACAGAGUAACGGUGCAGUAGCCUUUGUCGAUUUGCUAGCAGAACUAUCAACAGCUUAAGACAGGAAGCGCCCUGGAUGAACAAUCAGUCUUUCACAUCCAUCAAUCCGCCUGUUGUAAUCUGGAAAACGUGUUGGUGGUCAAGGGAAACAAUUUCUCGACAUCUGAUCAUUGCUAAUUUGUGCUACGUGAAGCUUCAGCAAAGGAGGUUAACAACUAAGAACUAAAUCAUAAAGCUGUGCAAGUCUGAGCAAAACAAUCCUAUCAAGAGUUCAGCAACCAAACAAAUUAAAGCAAUGAAUAGCACAAGCAGUAAACAAGUAGUAAGCAAAAGGAUAUAGCUUCUCCCUCGGGAAGGUUAGGGGCGUCAAAGAUCUUGCAGACACGCUGCUCGCCUUUGCUUUUCCUCAGCAUCAACCGGAUG
rnacentral:lncRNA from 1 species